rfam:Oryza meridionalis cultivar OR44 (W2112) chromosome 4, whole genome shotgun sequence.
GUUUUAUACAGUUUUACACUAUUCACAUUCGACGUUUAACCGUUCGUCUUGUUUGUAAAUUUUUUAGAUUAGUAUUUUUAUUGCUAUUAGAUGAUAAAACAUGAAUAGUACUUUAUGUGUGACUAAAUAUUUUCAAAUUUUUCACAAAUUUUUCAAAUAAGACAGACGAUCAAAUGUUAGAUACGGAUAUUCACGUCUGCACUUAUU